rnacentral:rRNA from 1 species
CAGUCGCCGCGGUAAUACGGAGGGUGCAAGCGUUAAUCGGAAUUACUGGGCGUAAAGCGCACGCAGGCGGUCUGACAAGUCAGAUGUGAAAUCCCCGGGCUUAACCUGGGAACUGCAUUUGAAACUGUCAGGCUGGAGUCUUGUAGAGGGGGGUAGAAUUCCAGGUGUAGCGGUGAAAUGCGUAGAGAUCUGGAGGAAUACCGGUGGCGAAGGCGGCCCCCUGGACAAAGACUGACGCUCAGGUGCGAAAGCGUGGGGAGCAAACAGGAUUAGAACCCCAGUAGUCCCUGUCUCUUAUACA